GGAAGGCGAGAUCAUUCACGUGCUGCUUCACGGAGAUAUAAUGAACUUCAAAUGCAGAGUUAGAUCCAAGAAGAAGUUUCAAAUGGAGGAGCCGGUCGCGUUACAAUCGAUCAAAGGCUACCUUCUUGUAAUCAACGAAGAGAAGGUCUUCGCUUUCAACGUAUCGACCCAGCAUUACGUUAGAACCGCUGGUCCUCGUCUCUUGUUCUCAGCUGGUUUGGAAGAGAUCAGAUCCUCUUUCUUGAGCCAUCGUCAGUCAUCUUCGAGAAAUGUAGGUGUAAAGGCGAGGCCUUUGAUAGCUAGCGACAGAGAGAAUCUUCUUGUGAUGGGUUUAGGAGACGGGUACUUCGGUGUUUACAAGUCGAAGCUUCCGAGUCUCAAAGGAGAGUUCAACACAAUGCUUUGGAGCAGUCCUGUGUUCUUCUUCAUACUGUUUCUCUUCGGAGCUUGGCAUUUUUUUGCGAAGAAGAAAGAGUCUCUCACGGCCUGGGGACCAGAUGAUCCUUUUACUCCGACGGCAGCUGGACAGAACAGCUCCGCGAAAGAGCCGAGUUUUACUGAGCCUGCUAGGAGCGAUGACCUCAUGGAUCUACGUAGAAGGUACGUUGGUGCGUCGCCGUAUCGUAACGACCAGAGUUCGAGAGCUCCGGUGGAUGGAGGAGGGUACAGAACAACGGCACAGGAUCAUAAUAACUAUCGAGGCGGGUCGGGGCUUGAUUCAAGCGGGGUUGGUAAUAGAAGAGAUAGUUUGUAUGGUAACAACAAAGGUAUGGACGACGAGAGUUAAAAAGAAUCUCUGUGACUUUUUGCAUUUGAAUUUUGACGUGUAAGAAAGUUAAUACACUUUGUAAUUCUCAAGCUUUUUGUUAUUCCUUCCUUUGUAAUUUUACAGACAUUCUCUUUAAAAUGUUUGAAUAAUGUUAAAUUCUUUGCAAAGUGAUGCACACAACCCAAAAUCUGGGCUGAAACCACGUUCUUGAUCACUAAGAUAGACGUUUGGUAGUAAAGAUGCGAUUCAAGGCAUGACAGCUUACGCUAAUCUCAAUCACGUUGAGUGUUUGGUCUAUCAUGUGUGAUCGUGCUAGCAAGUGGAUUAUAGAUGUGAGGAGUUAUUUAGGCUUUUUUUUCUAUCUCUCUCAAAUCUUUCUUUAGGUACAAGAGAAUUACUAAGUUUUAGAAUAGAAUUGUAAAGAAUUGAUUUAUUCCCCUAGAUUUCAAAAAAAAAAAAUACUACCAUUUAAAUGGAAUAAAAAGACAAAUCUCAUUCUAAUGAUUCAUUGUGAAAUAUAUAGAAUAAAAUGAAAUAGUCAUAAAACAUUUAUGAUUAAAAAGCUCAUAAAUAAAAUGCAAUAAGAUGGAAUGAAAUUAUUUUUUUCUUUCUAAUUCUAUAACUUUCUUUAUUCCAUUCAUUUGCAUCCUGUUUUUUAAUUUCAUUCAUUCAUAAUAUUCAUAAAAUUAAUUAGCACUUGCAGGUUUUAUAUUUUGCUAUGAUGACCGUCAGAUGUAUCAAGUCAUCUCAUCGAACGGUCCAGCCUUCAUUUGAAACUAGUGAACUUGAGAAAUAAAUCUACACCGUGAAGUAGAGGAACACUACUUAGCAGCCUCUGGUUCAUCGUCGUCGUCGUUGUCUACGCAGAACAGGCCAAUCAAGCUCUCUCUUCUUCUCUCAACAACUUCAAACCCCACCGAAAGAAAACACCACAUUUUCUAGGGCUUUGUCUGAAAAAUUCUCUGAUCCAGCACAUUGCACAAACGUGUCUCGUUUGGAUAAAUCAGAGAAGGAGUCAAUUUCAGUUUAAGCUUCUGCGUCUCUGAGGAGAGAAAGUCAACGACCAUGGCUGGUCGUAGAGACAGAACCCAACAGCUCCGUGGAUCUCGAAUCGCGAUCGCCAUCCUCAUCGGUAUCAUCAUCGGCUGCGUUUGCGCCGUUCUGUUCCCCAACGGCUUCUUCAACUCGAGCUCGUCUCUUACAGCUAAUGAACGCGUCCAGGUACUCGAUCUUGCGCCCUAAACCUAUAGAACAAGUUACAUAGAUUGAUUUGACCUGAAUUGAGAAUCCCCUGCGCUAGUCUCAGCCAUUUUAGGUCUUAAAUUGCAAAAUGUGUUGUGUAAUAAAAAUGAAAACUUUUCUUGGUGUUGUGUUUGUGUUAGAGAUUAGUUUGAGGUUGUAGUUGACUUGGUGAAAGUUCAUUACUUUCUUUGUUUCAGGUUGGAUCAUCUUCUUGUGAAUCCCCCGCACGUAUCAAGAUGCUGAAAUCAGACUUUGCAUCUCUCUCAGAGAAGAACGCUGAGCUGAAGAAACAGAUCAGGGAGCUAACGGAGAAGCUGCGUUUAGCUGAGCAAGGAUCAGACAAUGCAAGAAAACAAGUUUCUUGUAGUGUACCAAUUUAAACCAUCCAAAUUUUUUUAUUGCUGGUCAAUAAUAAAUCACAAUUAUUUACAAACACAUCACGUAAAAGAACUCAUAUCACAAAUAUAUUUACAACAUAUUUAUUUACUAUAUGCAAUAGAAUGAAUGGAUAGAAACAUAAAUUUUUAAAAAAUAAAAAGUGUAUAAACCCUAAACCCAAAUAUAAACACGAAACCCAAACAUAAAUUUCCAAAUACUAAACCCUAAACUCUAAUCACUAAACACUAACUCAAAUAUAAACCCUAAACCCAAAUAUAAACACAAAACCCAAAUAGAAUGGAACAAAAUAAACAACAUAGUACAUAUUGGUGAAACUAUAAAAUGUCUAUGAUUGCAUGAAAGAAGUUAAUGCUGACCCCAACCGUACCCUCUCACCUUUUAAAUACUAAACUCUAAAUUCUAGUCAUUAAACCCUGAUCCAAAUAUACCAUAAACCUAAAUAAAUAGAUUAAGCUAAACCAUAAUCAAGGAAGUAUAAACCCAAAUAGAAUGUAUAUAAUAUGAUUUACUAUACCCAAACCUUUACUUAAUUAGUAAAUCUAAACCCUAGGCAGGAACCUAUAAACCCAAAUACAAUCUAUAAAUUGUUUUCAAAUAUUAAACACUUGAAAUCACAUUUACUUGGUUAGCAGGUUGCAUGUCUUAUAUUCCAUAUAGUCUAAGUAGUAUAGUAAACGAAUGUUCCAAACAAUCAAAUUUGUCCAACACUCGAAAAAUGAAUUUCAUAUUACAAUCAAUCACACAAAAUGACAAAGAAGAGACCUAUCAAAUUUAAAAACAUGACAUAUUAUUACAUUUUUAAGGAGUAGUAUAGAAAUAUGUCUCAAAUAGUAUGGUAACCGUACAUAGGUAGCUAUACUUAAGAAUAUAUACUAUACUAUUCAUUUCACCAAAUAUUGUAUAGACGGCGAGUUCAUCUUCUUCAAUUCUUUUUUUUAAACAGGCUGAUACACAUUCAUUUCGUUCACCAUCAUUAUUCUUCACUAGCAUAUAGAGAUCGUCUUCAUCUCAUCUCUUUUUCGUGACACGAUGAUGCUUUUACCGACUCGCCGUUGUUGUUCUUCACCACUGGAUCUAUAAAACAAAAACAGAAACGAAAACAGAGUAUGUAAACAAAAGCAUGAUUGUGAGAAUCAAUAGAUUUUUUUUUAAAAAAAAAAGAAAUGAAAGAGUUGUUGUGUGUGCUCACCGUCUAUGACUUCAUCGUUGUCUAUUCUUUAAAACAAUUGAUUGUUCUUUUGAUGAAGUAUUGAAAGAGAAAAAUUAUGUGACAGAAGAAAAUGUAUGAUUUUGUUGAUAAUCUGAAGAAGAAAGAGAGAUAGUGAAAAGAGAUGGUGGAGUAGAAACGUGACGUGGUGGUGAUGGAUGUGGCUAAGAGUUUUUUAUAAUUUUUUUAAUUAUUUUUGUUAGUAGGUUUCACCGGUUGGUUGAAAAGGGUAUUAUGACAAUUUUUAUGUAAUGAGUAAAUUAUAAUUUGUUUGAUGGAUGUACGAUGCAAUUCCCCUUGAUUUAACCUGAAACAAACAAAAAAGUUUUAAAUCCAAAAACCAAAUUAUGCGUUUUAGAGUUAAUUGAAUAUGCGUUUUUACAUUAAUUAAUUAAUUUAUAACUUCUAUUUCUGUAAGAGAUAACGUCUUACGAUGUCUUUUCUCUAUCUCUAUCUAUCAAUUCACAAGCCAGGCAUUCGCUGAUAUACUUUAUGAGUUAGAUUUUCGUGAAGGUAGUUUCAAUUUUUGAUCCAAAAGAUAAUAAUUACUGAUUUAGUCAUACGUUAAAGACAAAAUUAACAUAUACACCCAACCACAACAAAUUUAAUUGGUUAAAUUUGUGAUUGUUGAAUGCUGAUGUCAAAAAAAAAAGUCUCAAAAAUAUCUUAAAAGACAUGUAUCUGAUCUUUUCGUAGCGCCAAGCUUCUUCACCUUGACUGAAGACGACCGGAUCAAAAUCUCGGACAUAAAAGUUCGGACAAUUAUUUUUCUUACUAAACAAACCCAAAACCAAAAUCUCAGUUUAAACUCCAACCAGUUCAUCUUCCAGAUCCUAAACCGCUUAUCUCCUAACAGAUCUACAUAUAUGGCGGUUACUCACUGAUUCAGACACGGCAAAAAAGGACUUCACUUUUUCAUCACUUCAAUGGCGGAUCCUCGAAACGGCAAGUCCUUCCUUUUCACCUUCUACUUUAUAAUCACCCUCACUCUGCUUUUUAUCUCGCCGUCGUAUGCCAACGAGUCUCCGGCUAUCGUUGACGAAACAGAAGACGUUGUUUCCACCGAUGUAGCUGCGUCGGUUACCGAACCCACCCGAGAAGAUGCUCUAUUGCACAAACUCGAGGAACUCGUCAAGAAUCUGACCGAGAUCGUCUCUAAUCUGGACGCUAAGUUAUCUGAAUCGAAGAACGAGAUCUCUAAAUCAGAUGAUGAAGCCAUCGGAGGAGGAGGAGCCAAGGCGUUCUCAGUGACAAAGUACAGCCCCUUUUGGACGGAGAGAUUCUCCUUCACAUCGGCAGUGAAGCUCGACUCCGACGCCACGUGUAUCAACGUCUUGCCGUUUAAAGACUUCGAAGACUCGAGCAAGUACUUCGCGAUCGGGGACUCUAGAGGUAGAGUUUACGUGUUCUUGAGAAACGGUGACGUUUUGAUCGAGUUCUUCACCACCGUUGAUUCCCCCGUCACAGCUAUGAUUUCGUAUCUUUCGAUGUUUAAGAACUCGAGUUUCGUCGUCACUGGUCAUCAGAACGGCGCCGUUUUGUUCCACCGGAUCCACGAGGGAUCGAGUGGAGAAGACUGGAACUCCAACUCGGUUUCGAUGGAACACGUCGGGGCUUUCGACGUGGAUGAUUCGGCUGAUCCCGUGACGCUGUUGGAAGUGCACCACGUGGGUCGUGUUCGGUACAUUUUGGCGACGGAUCUUAGCGGGAAGCUGACGGUUUUAACCGAGAACCGGACGGUUUACGGUUCGGUUAUCCCGACGAGUAGACCGCUAGUGUUCUUGAAGCAGAGGCUGUUGUUCCUCACCGAGUCUGGCGCCGGUUCGUUGGACUUGAGGAGCAUGAAGAUAAGAGAAACCGAAUGCGAAGGACUAAACCAUUCUCUUGCGAGAAGCUACGUCUUCGACGCGACGGAGCGGUCCAAAGCUUACGGAUUCACAUCGGAAGGCGAGAUCAUUCACGUGCUGCUUCACGGAGAUAUAAUGAACUUCAAAUGCAGAGUUAGAUCCAAGAAGAAGUUUCAAAUGGAGGAGCCGGUCGCGUUACAAUCGAUCAAAGGCUACCUUCUUGUAAUCAACGAAGAGAAGGUCUUCGCUUUCAACGUAUCGACCCAGCAUUACGUUAGAACCGCUGGUCCUCGUCUCUUGUUCUCAGCUGGUUUGGAAGAGAUCAGAUCCUCUUUCUUGAG
rnacentral:lncRNA from 1 species